UAGAAAUAUAGGCCUACUCAAACUGACUGGAUGUCAAAAGUAGCCAGAUGUGGAUCUUGUAAUGUUUGUCAACAGUUUUAUAGCCUUUUGCACGGUUAGAUUUGAGUUCUCUAACAAUGGACUACAAACAGGACGUUUAAACCUUUAUAGCAGGAAGUCUUGUUUGCAGUUGACAGAAUCACACUGGCUGGGCCUCCAACUGAUCCUUAGCAAUCCUUGCAUGUGGCAUUUAGGAAAGAAAUGAUGGGCACUUGUGUGCGAGUGAAGACGAGUGAUGGAGAUGAACUAUCUUUACUGGAAAGGUUGGCGGAUGUGCAUCAGCAUGAAAAAAAAAAAACACAAUUCAGGAUCACAAAUGAAGAAACUUUGCGUAAUUUCACAGCAGAUUUGGAAUGCAAUGAAGCCUCCCCCCGCCGCGCUCCAGUAUGAAGUAAUGGGAUGCUAGAGAAGACGCUGCCUUUGAUGUCUGGAAGCAGAUGGGCAGAGGAGGAGAGCUGCGUGCUGACAGGUAUCUCUCGUCCUGUCUGAAGUCCAGAGGGACACACUGAAGGAGACUGCGCUGAUUGUUCUGGCAAGUGUAUUGACUCCUAACCUCACUUCACCUGAAAUUAAACCCUGCCAACGAGACAUUUAGACGCUGAUGUUAGCCAAAUUAGCCUCCUACAGACACUGGCGCUCAUUUAUGGCCUUUCUGCUGAUUAUAAUUUCCCCCACUGCCUUCACUCACGUAUGCCCAUUUGUCACGGAUUUGCUUCUCGUAUGGUUUGGCAUUCACGUCCAGGAGUUUCCUUGAGUCUGAAAUAAAAAAAGUUUCUUCCCCAAUAA